AUAAGCUACAAAGAGCGUAGGGAGGAUGCCUUGGUAUAUGGCGCCGAAGAAGGACGUGACAAGCUGCGAAAAGCCGUGACGAGUUGCACAUAAACGAUAACAAUCACGGAUGUCCGAAUGAGGGAACUCAUCGCGAGUAAUAUUGCGAUACGAUAUAAUGAAUCAAUAGUUAUAUCGGGGGAACCCGGGGAACUGAAACAUCUAAUUACCCGGAGGAAAAGAAAGUAAAAACGAUUCCGAAAGUAGUGGCGAGCGAAAUCGGAGAAGCCCAAACGACAUAUAGAAAUAUGUGUCGGGUAAGGACUUGCGGAAAACGAAAGGAAGACUUAGUCGAAGAGAUCUGGAAAGGUCAGACGAAGAGGGUAAAAUCCCCGUAGACGAAAAGUCGGUCCAACGCGAGCAAGAAUCCGGAGUACGUCGGGACACGAGGAAUCCUGACGGAAGGAAGGAGGACCAUCUCCUAAGGCUAAAUACGACCAUAUGACCGAUAGAGUAUAGUACCGUGAGGGAAAGGUGAAAAGAACCCCGGGAGGGGAGUGAAAAAGAACCUGAAACCCUAUGCUUACGAGCAGACAUAGCACUAUUAAAAGUGUGGUGUCGUACUUUUUGUAGAACGGGCCGGCGAGUUACGACGUUAUGCGAGGUUAAGAUGUAAAGCAUCGGAGCCGAAGCGAAAGCGAGUUUGAAUAGAGCGUAGAGUAUUACGUCGUAGACCCGAAACCGGAUGACCUAACCAUGAGCAGGUUGAAGCAGCGGUAAAACGCUGUGGAGGACCGAACGCACGCCUGUUGAAAUAGUCGGCGAUGACUUGUGGUUAGCGGAGAAAUUCCAAUCGAAUCCGGAUAUAGCUGGUUCUCCUCGAAAUAGCUUUAGGGCUAGCCUGUAGCAAGAAUACCGAAGGUAGAGCACUGUAUGGUCUAGGGGGUUUCACGACCUACCGAAACUUAACAAACUUCGAAUGACGGAUAUUUGCUGCUAUGGAGUCAGACAGCGACAGAUAAGUGCCGUUGUCAAAAGGGAAACAGCCCAGAUCCGCAACUAAGGUCCCCAAGUACAGGUUAAGUGGAAAACGAUGUGUCAUUGCAUAAACAACCAGGACGUUGGCUUAGAAGCAGCCACACGUUCAAAGAGUGCGUAAUAGCUCACUGGUCGAGUGAUGGUGCGCGGAAGAUUCACGGGGCUAAAACCUGACACCGAAGUUCGGGAAUACGUUUAGACGUAUUGGUAGAGGAGCAAUCUAUACGGGCAGAAGCGAUACCGAAAGGAGUCGUGGACUGUAUAGAAGAGAGAAUGCCGGCAUAAGUAGCGAGAGAGAGGCGAGAAACCUCUCCGUCGAGAGUCUGAGGUUUCCCGGGGAAGGUUCGUCCGCCCGGGGUAAGUCGGGACCUAAGUCGAGGUCGAAAGGCGUAGAUGAUGGACAACCGGUAGAAAUUCCGGUACUGCCGAAGAUCGACUAAAUGAAGCGAUGACACAGAAGGAUAGUCAAACCGUGCGGAUGGAAAAGCGCGGCCAAGGCGAGGAACGGGCAUAGAGUGAAGUACCUAUGUAGGAAGUUUUGCGCUGAUGGGGAAGUGAAGAAAAGUAAAUAAGUUGACGAAUCCACGCUGGCGAGAAAAGUCGCUAAAUAAGGUCGGAGGCACCCGUACCGCAAACCGACACAGGUAGACGCGAAGAAAAUUCAUAGACGAACGGGAGAACCCUUGUUAAGGAACUCGGCAAAAUGACCCCGUAACUUCGGGAGAAGGGGAGCCACUGUCACAGGUGGUCGCAGUGAAGAGGUCCAAGCAACUGUUUAGCAAAAACACAGGUCUCUGCGAAAUCGAAAGAUGACGUAUAGGGGCUGACGCCUGCCCAGUGCCGGAAGGUUAAGGGGAGAUGUUAGGAGCAAUCCGAAGCGUUGAACUUAAGCCCCGGUGAACGGCGGCCGUAACUAUAACGGUCCUAAGGUAGCGAAAUUCCUUGUCGGGUAAG
rnacentral:rRNA from 1 species